GUCUUUACUAGGACAGUGAGUUCAACACUCAUGAAAUUUUUUAGGGCCAAAAUCCAGGGUGUUUCACCUCCAUUGCACUUUGAUGGGUGCUUGCCUAAGGUUAGCCUAAGUGGUUAAACCUAUGUCAUAAUUUAUUGCAGUGUCGGCCUGCUUCCACACGGUCCUACC